rnacentral:ncRNA from 1 species
GAAAGGCCGCAGGUGUGCUGCGGCUGGGCAGCGCUUACUGCCCCAGUUAGA